rnacentral:rRNA from 1 species
UACGUAGGGUGCAAGCGUUGUCCGGAAUUAUUGGGCGUAAAGAGCUCGUAGGCGGUCUGUCGCGUCUGCUGUGAAAACUCAGGGCUUAACCCUGAGCUUGCAGUGGGUACGGGCAGACUAGAGUGCGGUAGGGGAGACUGGAAUUCCUGGUGUAGCGGUGAAAUGCGCAGAUAUCAGGAGGAACACCGGUGGCGAAGGCGGGGUCUCUGGGCCGUAACUGACGCUGGAGGGAGCGGAAAAGCAUGGGGAGCGAACAGG